GACGAACGCUGGCGGCGUGCUUAACACAUGCAAGUCGAACGGAAAGGCCCUGCUUUUGUGGGGUGCUCGAGUGGCGAACGGGUGAGUAACACGUGAGUAACCUGCCCUUGACUUUGGGAUAACUUCAGGAAACUGGGGCUAAUACCGGAUAGGAGCUCCUGCUGCAUGGUGGGGGUUGGAAAGUUUCGGCGGUUGGGGAUGGACGCGCGGCUUAUCAGCUUGUUGGUGGGGUAGUGGCUUACCAAGGGUUUGACGGGUAGCCGGCCUGAGUGGGUGACCGGCGACAAUGGGACUGAGAGACGGACCAGAGUGGAAGGGGAGGCAGCAGGGGGGAAUAUUGCAAAAUGGGAGGAAGCCUGAUGCAGAAACGCCGCGUGCGGGAUGACGGCCUUCGGGUUGUAAACAGCUUUCGCCUGUGACGAAGCGUGAGUGACGGUAAUGGGUAAAGAAGCACCGGCUAACUACGUG
rnacentral:rRNA from 1 species